UCUCUUCUCGCGACUUCGGACUUCACGCGACCGAGACCGGCGAUUUCUUCUUCUCUCGGUGGCGCCGGCGAAGAGCGGACCUUGGAGUGUUGAGAGGAAGAGAGGUUAGUUACAGCCGAACCUUCUUUCUCCCCGAUCCCUUCCUCCCUUCUUUGAUCUCAGUGAACAACGGCGACGGAUCUCGAUCGGUGGAUUUCGCCGGCUGUCGGGAGGGAACCAAGGGCAUCGGCGUUGGAUCAGGCCAGCAUCGAUUGUUUGGAGGAGGUGGUUCUUUCUGGGAAGCAGAGACUGGUAUUUUGGUCCCGGCCACCACAACUCUAUUGGAUCGAUCUCUUCUUCGUAUCAGUGAUCGUCUCCGGUGAUUGAAGGGUGCAGAGAGGAUGCGAUGUGCUUAUUUUAGAUACUGGAUUAGGAAGUGCAGAGAAUCAAGCAAGGGUCAAGGAGUUGCUUCAUGUGGAGGAAUCAAAACUAGAGGAGGAUGAGGGAAAUACCACUCCAGUAGUGAGAUGGGUUCGAGAUGAUAAAUAUGAUUGCAUCCGAUUAAAGCAUUGCAAGGUUGUGACAAAAAUUGAUUGGCAUCGGAAAGGAGACUAUUUCACUACUGUCGUUCGUAGUGAUAUCCUAAUUAUGAAUUUUAGUUGUACUUAUUUUUAGUCAUUCCUAGUGCCUAUUUUAUAUCUCAGUUUUGUUUCUUUCUUUUUUCGAAUACACACUGACAUAUAUAUAAAAAUCAUGACAUUAUACCUAGUUACCUAGCCUUUGAGGCUGGAAUCAGGAUGAAACCUAAAGUGCCCUGAAAAGUUUAGGCAUACCAAAUUCUCUCAGUUUAAUGACAGAGGUCAGUUGUGUUGAAAACUUUGUUAUUUUCCUUGUUUUUCAUUUUCCGCGUCUAGAUUAAGAAACUAUGGCUUUCUAACUCAAAUAAAAAUUGCAAUUCCUGCCUAUCUUAGACCUAACAUUAACUUAUUAAUUGAACAGGUGUUUUAGAUUGUAAAUUUCAUCCGAGGCAGCCAUGGCUAUUCACAGCUAGAGCAGAUUCUGUCAUUAAACUGUAUUGCCACUAAUGAUAGAUUCUCCAGGAAACUUUGAAGAAUCUCCCUGAGUCAAGAUAUGUGAGUACUUGCUGAUCCUACAUGACUACGGUAGCAAGUUCAUGUUCUUUGCUGAGGCUGCAACCUAUUUAUGAGGUCGUUCUAUAUGGCACCGGCACCUAGAGCAAGUUCGUGUUCUUUGCUAAAAUUGCAAUCUAUUUACAAGGUCGUUAGGUUAGUUUUGUUGUUAAUUUAUUUUAUUGUUGGCUGCUAAAACUGUCUAUAAUUUCUAAAUUACUUAUAAACCUAUAUCCUUUUAUGUCGACUUC